rnacentral:rRNA from 1 species
UACGUAGGGUGCAAGCGUUGUCCGGAUUUAUUGGGCGUAAAGAGCUCGUAGGCGGUUUGUCGCGUCGGAUGUGAAAACCCAGGGCUCAACCCUGGGCCUGCAUUCGAUACGGGCAGACUAGAGUACUGCAGGGGAGACUGGAAUUCCUGGUGUAGCGGUGAAAUGCGCAGAUAUCAGGAGGAACACCAACAGCGAAGGCAGAUCUCUGGGACGUAACUGACGCUGGAGACGCGAAAGCGUGGGGAGCAAACAGG